AGGUAUUUAAUCUAAUAUAAGAGUACUGAUUUCGACUCAGUAGAUCGUGGUUAAGACCCACGAAUACCUC
rnacentral:tRNA from 1 species